UACGAAGGGGGCUAGCGUUGCUCGGAAUUACUGGGCGUAAAGGGAGCGUAGGCGGACUGUUAAGUUAGAGGUGAAAGCCCAGGGCUCAACCUUGGAAUUGCCUUUGAUACUGGCAGUCUUGAGUACGGAAGAGGUAUGUGGAACUCCGAGUGUAGAGGUGAAAUUCGUAGAUAUUCGGAAGAACACCAGUGGCGAAGGCGACAUACUGGUCCGUUACUGACGCUGAGGCGCGAAAGCCAGGGGAGCAAACGGG
rnacentral:rRNA from 1 species